rnacentral:sRNA from 1 species
AUUGUUGUUACCGGGUGAACUCGCCAA